UCUUCUUUUAUUUAUUUCCAUCAUAAUUAUCUCUACCAAUAAAAGGGACCACUUUCCCAACACGUUCAUUCAAGAAUUUUUCAAAUCCUUUUAAUUCUUCACAAGAGAUCAACGUUUUUUAUGGUGAAAAUUUUAGAACAUCAAUUUUGUGUUCAUAUUUUUCCUUUUGCAAGCAUGAAUACUUAAGGCCCUAUUUGGAUGCUGUUAUUCUUGAAGUCGUUGACAGAAGAUAGAGAGCACAACUAAGUAUGCACAAUAUAAAUAUCAAUUGAAAAAAAAAUAGUAUUAUUUUAAGAUGUUUGUGUAUGAUUAGAUUUGUGCUCUCUAAUCUUCUGUCAGCCAAUUUUUGGCAUUUUUACCUGAUUUAUCUUCGACGGAAUUGAUCGAGGUAAGUUUUCUUUCUUUUUUCUUUUGAUAGUAUUAAUUUUUUUCCAUAUGAAGAUAUUUGGGGGUUUUCGUAAAACCCUAUUAUCUGCAGCUUCUAAACCUCUUGGGAAAUAGGGAAAAGUUUCCGAUUUUAGAAACCCUAGUUCAUUGAUCAAAACGAAUUUAUUAGUUCCCAUUACUUUUUAUAGUAUUAUUUUAAUGUUUCAAGUGAGUUUAUUACUUCUCAUAACUUAUAUAGGUUGAAUCGUUGAACAGCUAGUGUUUUUUAUACAAAUUUUCAAAUACUUUUAUUACUUAUUUUCAGCGAUUUUUUUUCUUUUCUUUGCAAUCAUAGCUAAAAUUGAAGAAUAAUUAUUCAAUCAAAAUCACUAUCACUUUAAUCCAAGAGAUGUGGUUGAGUGAAAUGGACUCGUUCCUUAACCAAAUGAUAGUGGAUUGAUUCCUACCUUUAAAUAUGGAAUAGUUUAAAAUCAUUGGGCUAGUUGUCUCAUCUUUCGAGGUGCUUACAAAUCAGCACGAGGAAUAGUUACUAAGUCUGUCGAUAGAUACCCUUUGUCUAAUAACAAAAAAAAAUCACUAUGACUUUAUUGACAAAAAUUAAAAUCCAAUGGAUGAAUAGUCGUUUUCAAGUCAACCAGACUUAGUAAUUUUUAAUUAUAUUUUCAAGGAAGUUUCAUUUUUUGUUUUUAGAUAUUUAAUGAUUCGCCUAUUUAUCAUCAUAUAUUGCUCGUCAUAGAAAAUAACAAUAUUAUAAACUACUCACAUUGUUAUGUUUGAAGUUUAAAUCAUAACUAUGGCACAUUACUCAGAAAAUAUCAUGAAUUAUAGGCAAAAUCAGAUAUUUGCAGUAAUAUUUAAUUCUGGUCUUAAAAAUUACUACAAUCAUCAUAGAAUCAAACUUGAGUCAGUGUUACGCCGGGUUUUCAUCGUCGUGCCAGAAUGUAGCCUAGCGCCUGCCGACCCUAAGUCAACAACUAAUCGAAGUAGCCUAGCAGUCCCUUCUGUCCCACGUGACGUCUGAAGAGAAAAGGUCGGAUCCAAAGAACGAAGAAAUCGGACCAAGUCAGUGGUCAAGGAGGAUUCAACGGUUUGUUGCGGAAAUGCCUGAGCAAAGACCUCUCGCCCAACAGUCCGCCGAGAUCGCCACGGAAAAUCCUAAGAGCAGUCAACAAUACGUUGAGUUUGUGCGGCGAAUGAUAUCAACCCUAAUUCGAGCCAAAUCUUGCCUUUACAAGCUGGAAUUGUUAUCUAAUUAGAGAAUGAGCAUCCAAGUCUAUAGAUACUCCAUAUAGUGCACCAUUACAUGAGUUUAGAACCCACUUAUUUUCACUCCCAUCCUUGCUCAAUGUCCAUCCACCACUAGAGAUUGAAGCAAGACAAAAAGAAGAAAGAAUACUUGAAGAUUCAUGUCACUGUAUGAAUUAUAGGGAUUGGGAGUAGUUUUUCAUGUUUGUCCAACUGAGCCAAAGAGGAUAUUUUUUGUGCAAUGGCAAGAGGUUGCGCGAAAGGAUGUGGAGCGUGCUUUUGGUGUGCUCCUAGCGCGUUGGGUAUUGGUCAAAGGCCCGACACAUUUCUUGUACGAAGGUGAUAUCACUGAUAUCAUCUAUGCCGCCAUCAUCUUGCAUAACGUGAUAGUGGACAAUGAGGGUGAAGGAGUCACCAAAAUCGGCGAUGAAGACACUGCUAGACCAAGCCACGAUGUUUUCCACGAGUCCCACCGUCAGGGUGUCCGCACGGUUAAGCUGAAAUUCUUUGGGCAUAUGUUGACAUGCGCCCAUCUUCGACUCCAGCAUGAUAUGAUUUAAGAAGUCUGGACUCGUAACCACUGAUGCGUAUUUUAAUUUUAUUCAAGUUUGCUUCUCGUUGUAUUCUUUUUUCCAAUAUUGUAAUACAAUGAAAAUUUGCUAA